CCUGGGCUGAGCUGCUCAGGGCCCUGGAGGCUUGGCUGGAGUGGCAGGGCUACGGGAAAACUAGCCAUGUAGAAGAUUCUACCCAGGCGUUUGGCCACCUACAAAGAGAUGAGCUUGAAUGGGUGUCUGCCAGGGAAGGGGUCCUGGUGUG